AUACAACUUACUUCCAGAUAAUCAAUGAUAGUUCCUAAAUAGUCUGAGUUUUCCUUGGCCAGCUUGAAGCGGGCCUCUGUCUUCUCGAGAACCUUUUGCCAUUCGUCCAGGACUGGAGAUUUGUCAUCAGUCAAACGCUGUAAAACAGCUACCACAAAUUCAGUCUUUAACUGCUCCAAAGUUCCGUAGAGCUCCACCUCCAUUUUGUGCCAAUAGCGGUGCUCGGCCAUCGGAGUAAAAUCGUCCAGUUUGGCAUCUGUUAGCGUCUUCAUGGUUUUCUUGAGAUACUUUAUCCAACCGUCGACUACUUCCUCCAGUUGCUGCUGACUGUAGGUGAUCACCAGGUCCAGUCUUUUAGGAUCGACAGGCACGCGAAUGAUGGCGUCCUCGAACUCGGUCUCCUCCUGACCCGGCAGUAUAUAUGACGAUGGAAGACUGAAGGCCCAGACAAUGUGGUUAAUGGUCCAGGUGAUUUCACCCUGGAACUCCUCGAUCUCCUUCAGAAGCCUCCUCUGGAUUGGUGUGAUUCUUGGGGGAGUGGCCUCCUCGGCAGCGUGUUCAGCCUCCACUUUGGCCUUCGUCUCACUGAGCAUCUUCUCCCAACGCUGGGCAAUCGUCAGCUUCUCAACCUUCUCAACCACUGUAAUAAAAUAUGGGGUGCAACAUUUGCAGCUAGCGAAAUCCUCAGCAAUGCCAUACAUCAAUUCAUGGCAUAUUUGAAAUGCAAAUGCCUUGGCAGUAAACUCCGCUCAAUACCCGCGUGGAUAUGCGUGUGAACCAAUAAAUCAAGUUUUCCUGGAAUCAAAGGACCAUAAAGCGCUGACACUGCUCCGAGCUGUAGGCCCAGACUGAAUGGCAAGGCAAAAUGGAGGAGUGUGAGCCAUAUGCACUCCCGUAAAAACACAAAUGCGACGAAGAAGGAGGCUGCUGCUGCGUGUGUGCCAACUCAAUAGCUGGAAAAUUGAAAUUGAAAACCUAUUGGGUAUUAUCCAGUCGCCGGAAUGUCAAGUUCAGACAAAGCUGGAUUCAUUGCCAAUGCAGCUCCACUCACCCCUGCGCAAUUUUAAUUGCAAACGGAUUAAUCGGUUAAUCCCAGCCUCCACAAGGCAUAGAAUUGUAUACUUCUAAAGGGAAAACAAUCAGGGCCAUGCAAAUAUGUUUCUUAGAACAAACUAAUUAGUGAAACGAAAACACUGGCUCCACAGCUCGAUGGCUGCACUUUAAUUACUCUCAAUGAGAGCGGCACUUGACCAUAAAAUUAACAUAAUAAUUGGCCAGAAAAGUGGGGCUCGCAGGCAGGCUGAGUAUGGCUGAGUAUUUCCAGCUGGGAAAGCCGACAGGAAACGCGUGACUUGGCAGCAUUUUCGGCCAAGACGAACGAGACGACAGAGUCUGAUGUUUUCAACUGCUUUUAAUUACAACGUUGACAUGUCUAAGCUGCUUUCGAUACAAGCGAGGCGGGCCUAAUAGGAUUAGGGCGAUGACGUCGUCGGAGGUCCUGUCAAGAGGCAGCAAGACAGAAAUCAAGCAUACGCCGCGUUGUGCCAGGCAAAUGAGAUGAGCUAGAUGAUGAUGAUGAUGAUGCUCGACGGCUGAGAGGUGUGUCUUCGUCGUGUUUAAAAAUAGAACCCCAAAAAUAUAUAGAAAAAGAAAGGAAAACAAACCCAAGCAUCAGACGCGAUGAGUGGGAAAUGAAAUCUAAACGCCCAUGGAUGGAGUCAUGGCAUGCAUACUUAUGCAGGCGACUGUAUUUAAUGGCCACUAUGCGCUGCGUGCAGAGAAAAAGGCGUAAAUUUUGCUAAUGGCCUGAAAAUUGGGCAAUUUUAUAGCCUCAUGAAUAAAAGAUUUUCAUUUUGCUUCAAUUACAGUCAAAGCCAGAGAAGCGAGAAGCGACCAGCCCCCAGUUGCCAGUCAAGGAUGAAGUCAAGAUAGCAACCGCACAUACCCACACUCACUCACACACACCCCGAGGAGCACACACAAGGACUCUAACCCACACACACACACAUACACACAAUCCCAUAUGCGACAAGUUGGCGGCCACAAUCUUGGAUUUAUACGGCUUCAAGUGGCUUCAGUGGCCAAAAGGAGGAGGAAAGUAAGUGGGCAGGGGGGCAAUGGAUUCCCCUCCACUCAAGUUGCCUUCAGCCUUAGCCUAUUUAAAAAUUAAAAUUGUAUAAAUUUUUAAUGCCAACCAACGCGAGUUAUUAGCCUAGCUUGAUAGCUAUCCCUGCUCCACCUGGAAUAUCCUGCUAAUCGACUGCCAACCGCGAUGAUUACAAAAAUUUCCACUUGGCCGCAUAUUUUCCUGAUUAAUUCUAGGCCCAUACAAAAUGCGCACCAUGAAUUUUUCAUGCCACAAAGCGCCAAACCCAAUCAAAAAAAAAAAAGAAGAGGAUACAAAAAAUGGUUAAGCAAAGAGCAUAGCAAAUAAAACGAAGCUUACUUUAUACAAUUGGCAAACCGCAAACAAAGUGAAUUUCAUUUUUGUUUGCGGCCACAGACGUGUCAGUUUGGACACAUGAAUGAUGAAUUAUAUUCGGUGGUCAAUUUGGAAUACAUUUUUCACAGCAGAGCAAUAAAAUACACCCCCCCAAUAAUCCCUUGAUGGCCGGAAAUAUGGAACCACAGAGCAGUUUGCAAAGCUGAUCAGGACUUGAACUUCCGUAUACCAUUUCAAGGGUCCUGCAAGUCCUUUUCCAUUUACCAAACUCGAGUGCCGAUCGGUUGGAACUCCUGGCCAAGGGAAAUAAUAAAGUGAUUUCGAUUUAA